ACUUAAUUGCCAAAAACAUUUUGUUUUGAGACAUAUUAGACCAAAUGAAACCCUUCCAUUGCAUGGCGCAGGGGGCAGAAAAGCACAGUAAAUAGGUGAAGUGAGUCUGGGAAUUCUACAUGCGUAGUAGUUUCCCUCCAAGCCAAAUAGUCUCCUUACUUAGUUUGUUGUUACUUAUUUUCAUACAUUUGCAUUGCAGCAGUGCCUACGAGCACCAGUAGUUUUGGGUCCCAUCCCGUAAGGGCUGUACAAACAGACAGAUAGACACGUCUGCCAGCAUCCAUGGAUUCUGCUCCCAGAUAGGGUCCACGCCAGAACCUGUGUCCCUUUUGAGCUGCUACUAAAGGUCCUUCACCCUCUGCAAGCCCAGACACAGACCAGCAGGAACCUGGGAUUCCGAACUGUCUGGAGCAAUUCAAAGAGGAAGUGCUUCCAUGAUGAACUUAUGGUGGACAUCCAGGACAAGGCCAACAACCAGUACAAUACCAAAGGGAAAAGAGUUCAUGGCAAGUGGAAAGGCACAGACAGGCUACAGCGCACGUCGGAGUGAAUUGCAGGAAAACCCUGGCAUCAUGAACUUUUCCAUGGCAGGCCCACUUGUGGCGUCCAUAAAUCAGGCUCUGUGGUUCACAAGGGCCUGUGUAAUAAUGGAGUAGUACAUUUUGUGGUUCAUGUACUCAUGUGCUCUUUGAGCGGGGCAAACUGUGUGCCCGUGAUUGCCAUCAGUGGCCCCAGUGAAGUUUGGAAACCCCAUUCUCUCAAAACCAGCUAUUCUGAACACCAAAAAUACAGCAUAGAUUUCAAGAUGAUACUUCUCGGUAACAAUAAAGCAAUACACUCUGAAAAGCAGCCAACUGUAGUAAAAAAAACCUUGUCCAGUUCAACAUUAAUGAUUAAAUCUAGAAAUAAAAAAAACCAAAAAGAACUUCUUUAGCAUGCAAUCUAAUAAAAUAAAUUAUCAAUUUUACUAUCGAUUUGCAGUAGACAAAACAUGAUUCACUUAAUGUUGUAACAUGCUGGGGAGGAGAACUAAGUAUUUUAUUAUUAAACAUGGUAAACUCACUAACAUGCAUUGUGACACCAUUGAACUUACAAAUAGUUUUAGGUUAGGGAUCAUUUACUGGUCAUGCCAGUAAACAAAUAUUGCUCAAGUCAUUUAGGAAAUGUUGUUCCCUGUGACAACAUCCACCAGCAAAUUACACAGGCCUGCUAUUUAUUACCACUUACGUGAUAUUAUGUUCUGCACAGUUUAGCCUGUCUCCACACUAAUCCUUAAGGUGUGUUGUUCUUUAAACAUCUAUUUUGAGUUUAUAUUCAAGUUGGCUGUAGUGCUACACAGCUGACAGCAUGGCAGUGGGGAGUGGCUGAUCGUUACCAACUUGUGCCUGUAACGUAUUGUACUGUACUACUGCGACUCACAUAUGCCAACUUGAACUGACUAAAAAAAUGUAUUGUCACUUCAGUUUCUUUAUUGUCAAAAUGUGGAAUGGAGGGGCCAUAAUGAACCUUCUUUCUGACUGUUGCGUGUCAACAAAAUCUUCAAACAAAAGAAGGAAAAUCUGUUGUGGACAAGUAAAAUGCUAUGUAUAGUUGCUAAAUAUUGGUGGAAAGUGGUCUUCCCUCUUCUGCCCCUGCACCCAUCUACAGUUUAUUUUCACUAUCAUGCAAUAGUGCAAAUAAACUUUUAUUUUUUUAAACAGAAAAAUCUCUAGAGGCGAAGCCUGGGGAAGCUUGGCUCUGGAUCUAAACUUGGCAGCUCAAACAACAUCUACUCUUUUUGUUUGUUUUUAAGAAUUUGCUUCUAAUGGAGCUCUUGAAAUGAGGGUCAAAGUUCAGAGAGAGAGGCUGGAGGACUUUAUUAGUAUUCUCAAGACCCUGUCUUGAAGUUUAAAUUUUAAAUGGGAAGUGUGACAUUUCCAGAACUCUUUGUGGGUUCAGUUGUACUUGAAUCUGAAUCAAGAAUCCUCUGUGUUCAUCUUGCCUAUCAGAAUUAAAAGCCACAGCAUGCAUGCUGUACACUUUGUAUAUCACCCUCCAGUUUGUAAACUUCAUGAAGUACACAUUCUGCAGCUAUGCUGCUGUGUAUUUGUGUUUCUGCAAGCAACAGUCUGAAUUAUCAGAUUUUCAGUCCUAGAAUACUGAAUUGUAAUGAAAUGGGCUUGGCAACUAGUUGUGAAUUUUAAGCAAACUGUGUAAAAUAAUCAGCUGCAUCUUAAGAAAGAAGCUCAAAAUCAGAUAUUUUUAAGUUCUGUUAAGAUUUCUUAUCUAGCCCUGUUAGGGAGUACACUCUAGAUUCAAAAUAAAAAUCAAAUUCUAGGUUGGUCAUUCAAGGUCAAGUAAAACUUAAUGCUAGGGUUUAUUCGAAGAAUACCACCAAUUAGCUACAAUCACCUUAUCAAAAUGUUGUGAUUAACGGAAUAGAAGCUGCACUCUGGGCAAGGAAGAUCAAUGCUGACAAUUUCCGAGGAAAGAAAAGGAGUACUUGUGGCACCUUAGAGACUAACAAAUUUAUUAGAGCAUAAGCUUUCAUGAGCUACAGCUCACUUCAUCUGGAGCAUUUGGUGGAAAAAACAGAGGGGAGGUUAUCAUACACACUGUAAGGAGAGUGUGAGAGCUUAAUAUAAGCCAUUUCCGAGGGUGUGGGUUUAGUAAGAUAUCAUUUGUCACACUCAGCAGUGCUGUUUCAGAAUUAUGCCGAGAUCAAAACCCUGAUUGGAAUCUAUCAAAUCAAUAAUUGCAGUUAGCCAAGUGCUGAGCAGUUGUGACGACAAAGCUUGCUGUGGGUACUGUGCUAUGAAAUGAAUAUCUGAAGCUGCUGCCAGUGUGUGACAAGCCCUGGGACAAGAUAGUAGCAGCAAGUAAGUGCAAACAACAAUAGCACUGGAAUAAUAUAAAAAGUUUAGGAAGUGAAAUUAACAGGCCAUUGAUAGAUAUUUAUUCUGAUAAGAGACAUUCAAGUAAACAUUUAGGUCUACUGCUUGUGAUUUAAACUCUCAAAACAUAUGCAGGGUAGUUUAGAUAUCUGCUCAUCUAAUCUCAUUAUAGAAGCUCAGUCCAGCUCCCAUUGAAUUCAAAGGAGCCUUGUCCUCACUGAGAUAUUCACAAUUCUCCCAUUGUUGGUCUAGCAUAGACCUAACAGAAGCCUGGGUCUUUAUAUUACUAUUUGCUGCUGGUAAUGCUGAAGGGCUGCAGCCAGGAAUCAGUGUGUUAGACACUGUACAAACACAUGUUAAAUAGAAACUCCCUGCCCCCAAAAGUUAACAUUAUCCCAAGUCUACACUAGUGACUUUAUCAUUGCUUGCCCCCAUGGAGCUACACUGGUGUUUAAACCAACUGGGGACAACAGCUUGGAUUCUCAGUGGGGAAGCAGCCUGGAAGCUGCCAUUUGUGUCAAUGGAAGUAGGUUCUAACCACCUAAAAAGAACUGUAUCCUUCCUAGCAUCAAGCCUUGUUCUCCUUAUUCAGGCAAGUUGUCCCAUUGAAGUCUUCAGUGUUAUUGAAAUCCUGUUGUUCAUCUCGUUGUCUCCUUCAUCUUUCCUACAUGCUUUUAACCUUUUAUCUUCAUUCUGCGGGAUUUUUUGGCUCUUCUGUACCUUUAUUAUCAUCUAAAUAUAGUAGCACUUCAGACUGUCUCUCUCACUGCUGUAACUUUGGCUGUCAUUAAUUGAUUUUGCAUGCAGUUAUACCUAGCUUGCAUUCUAAUCAACUUUGGCAGAUUAUGCUUUUAAUUAGUUCUUUAAUAUUUCUCCACUCUCAUUUGCAGUGACGGUGAUGCAUUGUAAGAAUCCUUCACAUGUGUCAUUGUGGUUGCAUCUUGAAAGAAAAAAAGUCUUCCAAAUGGUUUGGGUAUGAAAAAUAUACCCAAUUUAUCAUAAAUCAUGUUUUUAUCCUCUUCAGCUGGACUAGUGGAUAUGUUUAUGUGUUUUUUCCCCCGAUUGGAAUAAUACAUCACAAGUUACUUUUCCAUCAGGGGCAGGGAUUUGAUAAGCCCCCUACUAGAUCCACUCUCAACAGUAUUCUGCACAAAUUGUAAAUCCCUGGAUCUAUCAGAUCUCUAUCAAACAGUGCUGUAGGUUUGGUUCUCCACUGAUUUGUCCCGGUAUAGUUAUUUAAACCUUAAAAUGAGUGUUAUCAGGGUGAGGAAAUUGAUAGAUCAAACUACUUGUCUUCCAUCAUCCCAUUGUUUUCAGGAUUUCACCCACUGAAUAUAAAGAGCUCUGAAUAGUGCUAAGGUAUUAUGGGUCAAAUCUUGAGGUGCUUACUCGCUUGUUACUCAGUGUUUAUUCAGGCAAACUCCCACUGACGCGGAGGACUGAAUAAAAACAGAGUAAGGACCUCAGAAUUUGGCCCAUUCUUAAUAAUGAUUUGAAGUAUCUAUUACCUUUAAUACUCUCUGAUAGCCUGUGCUCUUAUCUACUUAAAUAUCAUUCUAAUUAACAUAAUGUUUUGUGUUAAAAAUGGGCAAUUUCUUGUCUGCCAACCUGUGUAUCUGACAGAUUAUUUGUAAAAACCUCCUUAUAGAAACACCUGGUUCAUUAAACUUUCACUGGUAGCUAUAUUCUCUGUCAGUUCUUUAUUGUUUGGAUUUAACAAUAAUUAGAAUGAUCACUGCUGCAGACAUUACCACCAUGAAAAGCACAUAUCCUGAGGAUAUCAAUUAUACCUAAAAUUAUGCCUCAUUUUUGUUAAGAUAUUAUUGAGAUGUGUUUUCACAUCACAUCAGACAUAUGGUACUGCCAUUAAAUACACUGGCAAAUAGUUCUGAGCCAUGGGGAAAUGUAUUCAUGGUAAUAAGGCCAAUAUUAAUUCACAUAUAGAAUUCUGAAUCUUUUUAAUUUUUACCCAUAGUAGGGUAUUUGAGCACAGUAUAUAUGUUUGAGUUCAGGGCUUGUGAGGUCAGCAGGGUUUCUUUUUUGAAGUUACCUAAAAUAGUUUUUCAUGAGGAAGACAUAGAAUGUGAAAUUCCAGCCCCAUUGAUAUCAAUGGCCAAAAUAACUUUGUCCCUGCUUGGUGGAGAUGUCUUGGAUCAAGUGCUUAAUGUUACAGGAUCAGCCCUGCAAAGGGCUGGACAUUUUGACCCUGAUCCAGCAAAGCAUUUCAGUAUGUUUUUAACGUUAAGCGUGUGAUAAUUGCCUUGAUGGUUCUGGACCAGAGUGCUCAGCACCUUGAAGGAUCAAGUCCUUAAGCCAGAACCUUUUGGAACAGUGAGGAAAAAAUUACAGCUGGGACUGGAACUAGGCAGGAAUAAUUUUUGUAGUGUCGUAUUUGUUGUGAGGUGGCUACAGUUUGAGUAUGCACAAGCCUAAACUGUGCUAUGUUUUUGCUGUUUACGAACCAUCUCUGUUCAAAGCCAUAUUCUGUAUGGAUAUUGGGCCAAAUCCUGGAGAUCUUACUCAUUCUAUUUAGCCAAAGUUCUCAUGAACUUUAGGGAAUGUCUAUACUGCAGUUGGGAGGUGUGAUUGCAGCACAUGUAGACAUACCCAAGUUAGUUUUGGCCCAGCUAAAUUCUAGUCCCCCAGCCUGUCCAGGACCAUGAAUACAUACUUGAGCAGCUGCAGCCUGUGGUGUCUUGACUUCACUGCUACUGUUACUUGAGAUAGCUUUUCUCUAGCUAGAUCUAAGCUUAAUAAGGCAUGUCUACACAUGCUGCAAUCAUACCUCCUGAGUAAGAACUGCAGGAUUUGGCCCACUGUACAUUAAACAGAUGAGGAUAAUUUAUUGUGUCUGUGUCCACUCUUGUAAAAAAGGAAAUAACCUAACUCCUAGGGUGAAAUCUUGGCCCCACUGAAACCAAUGGUGAAACUCCCAUUGACUUCAAGUGGGCAGGAUUUCACUUCUAGAGUCCAAAGCUUCAUGACUAUUCAGAAGUUCUGAUCAUUUUGAGUCACUGCCUUUUGCAUACUUUCUUGGGACACAGGUUAAAGGACAUACAGAAGUGUGAGGACCAGAGCUUCCUACUGAAUCAUUCUGGCUGUUGAUAAAGAAUAAAUAAUAGGGAAAGGAAGUCAACUCUUCAAGCUAAUGCUAAUCUCUGUGUGCAUCUAGUAUUCAAAUAAAAAGAGUUAUAAUUGCAUGGUAGUCCAGGUUCUAAGAAGGGAAACUAACAUAUCAUGUUUGGCUGUUCCUUAGGAGCCCAGGAACCUAAUAACUUAAUAUGUGUUUAAAGUACUUUUCUAAUAUGAUUCCCCCAUUUUUCUAACCAUAAAGUGCAACCUCAAUAUAGUAGGAAUGGUUUUGGACCCAUUUAGAAAUGUAUUAAUUAAAAAAAGAGUUCCUCUAAAGAGAGAAUUUACUGGAAACAAACAACAUAUCUUUAAAAAUCAAAGUUAUUUAAAUCAAUGAAGAGUUGCUUUCAGCAGCUUGUCCUUAUCCCCAGGUUUAAAUGAAAGCAACCCACAUCAGUUUAAUGUUCUUUCCAGUUACAAAAUCUCAGCCCUGGAAGUCUUUUCCUCUGCUGUACCACGAACUGCCAGAAAUAAAAGACAUUUCCCAUUUGCUGUCUGAAAACUGCAAACGAGAAAUCAUGUGUCACUCAGCUCUCAUGUCUGAAGCAUAGGCACAGUGAGCAAAAUAUUUUAAUGCUGCCUUCAUUUCAGACCUAUGUAUUCAGUACUGCCAAUGCCAAAGGCCCACCAAAACCACAAAAUUAAAAAAAAACCCAAAACUCAUAAUUUUUAAGCCAAUCUUGUUUCUUUUUAAUUUGCCUUCUCAUUUGUGAGUCUUUAAGGUACAUUUGGGUCACGUUUUCAAGCUUUUCUCUGCAACCAUCAGAAAUAGAAAGUUGAUUUUUUUUUAAUCGAUCAAAACUGAGUUUCUCAUCUAGUUUAGGUGCUGGAACUUUAAGGAAAAUGCCAAAUAUUGCAAGGAUCCCAAUAAAAUUGUAAGAAUGGACAAUAGUAUUAACUUCCAUUCAAAAAACCCAAUUGUGUUAAAACCACUUUGCGACCACAUUGCAAAGUCAAGCUCUCAAAAGUUAGGAAAAACGAAAUUAUAAUGCAAACUUAAUAAAAGUGUUGCUACUACUCCACCUGUAACAAUUGCAAGAAUCAGAUUUAAUUGACUACAGAGAUAUGGCAAUCUACACAGAAUACUAAUCAGAAUAGUCCUGCUAAUACUUUGUCAUUAAGAAUAACCUUAGUACUUAAUAAGAAAAGAGAGAUGUGUUAGUUGUGUUCAUCAACAUCGCUCCAGUUCAUUUUUUAUCAGUAUUUCUAUUACAACCCCCUAAUUCAAAUGGCUUCAUAAUUCAAGUUUUAUACAAAACUUUCACAAAAUCCUAUACUCUAUUUUACAUGUAAAUAAAAAGAAAGAACACAAAUUAAUCAGUGGCAUAAAACUAAGGCAAUGGAAAAGGGAGAUAUUGCACUGUAAUAUCAAGAUGCAAAGGUUAGCCUUCGAAGUGACAGCGUUGCCAGCAUAACUCUUCUCCCAGAUGUUGUCAUCCUGUUUCCUGUUCUACUUGUAUCACUUAGACUUUAAACAUUUUGGGGUAGAAUAUCUGUCUAUAUCUUUUCUGUAAUGUGACUUGCACAUCUAUGGCAUGAGAUGAAUAGUUUUGGUUUGAGUAAUUUUGAAAUCAACUGACUUGCUUCAUUUUCUGGUAGCAGCUUCUCAAGGAAAACAAUCCCUUGGCUAAAUUCCCAAACAUCAUCAAGUCAAUGGAAGCUGAUUGCUUUUGAUCAUUCAUUUUUGAUCAUUCACACAAUUAUGUAAGGGGGUGGGGGCACAUUUUGUAAAUCCAAAUAUGUAUUUUAUUAUUAGAGCUGGUCAAACUUCUCCAAAUUUUUGAUUUUUCAAUGAAGUUUUUCAUCAAAAUUUUGAGAUAUGAUUGGAAAAACAGGAUGAUUUUUGUACAAAUAUGCUAUGAAGGAGUCAUCUUGUUUUUUAACCAGCUAUGGGACCGAUCAAAGUUUUCUGAAUUUUGAAAUUUCAAUGAAAAAUUUUCUCAAAAUGUUGACAAUAAAAGGGAAAAUUUUUGCAAACAUUUAUGUGAAAUGUGUUCUCAUUUUUUUUAUC